rnacentral:tRNA from 1 species
GGGUUGUGUUUCAUCGGUAGAACGCUUGCCUAGCACGUGAGAGGCUCUGGGUUCGAUCCUCAGCCCCA